rnacentral:rRNA from 1 species
UACGUAGGGUGCGAGCGUUGUCCGGAAUUAUUGGGCGUAAAGAGCUCGUAGGCGGUCUGUCGCGUCUGCUGUGAAAACCCGAGGCUCAACCUCGGGCCUGCAGUGGGUACGGGCAGACUAGAGUGCGGUAGGGGAGAAUGGAAUUCCUGGUGUAGCGGUGAAAUGCGCAGAUAUCAGGAGGAACACCGGUGGCGAAGGCGGAUCUCUGGGCCAUUACUGACGCUGAGGAGCGAAAGCGUGGGGAGCGAACAGG